rnacentral:rRNA from 1 species
UACGUAGGGGGCAAGCGUUGUCCGGAAUUAUUGGGCGUAAAGAGCGCGUAGGCGGUCCGGUAAGUCGGUUGUGAAAGUCGGGGGCUCAACCCUCGAAUGCCGGUGGAUACUGUCGGGCUAGAGUGCGGAAGAGGCGAGUGGAAUUCCUGGUGUAGCGGUGAAAUGCGCAGAUAUCAGGAGGAACACCAAUUGCGAAGGCAGCUCGCUGGGACGUAACUGACGCUGAGACGCGAAAGCGUGGGGAGCAAACAGG